rnacentral:rRNA from 1 species
AGGGCACCACCAGGAGUGGAGCCUGCGGCUUAAUUUGACUCAACACGGGAAAUCUCACCAGGCCCGGACACCGUAAGGAUUGACAGAUUGAGAGCUCUUUCUUGAUUCGGUGGUUGGUGGUGCGUGGCCGUUCUUAGUUGGUGGAGCGAUUUGUCUGGUUUAUUCCGAUAACGAACGAGACUCUGGCCUACUAAAUAGAGACAGGAUUAUUACUGUCUUGGAUUCUUCUUAGAGGGACAAGUGGUUUUCAGCCACACGAAAUUGAGCAAUAACAGGUCUGUGAUGCCCUUAGAUGUCCGGGGCUGCACGCGCGCUACACUGAAGGAAUCAGCGUGCUAAAACCAUUGUCGAAAGGCAUUGGUAAACCCAUUAAAAUCCUACGUGAUUGGGAUCGGGAAUUGCAAUUAUUUCCCUUGAACGAGGAAUUCCCAGUAAGUGUGGGUCAUAAGCUCGCGUUGAUUACGUCCCUGCCCUUUGUACACACCGCCCGUCGCUGCCCGGGACUGAGCCGUUUCUAGA